rnacentral:rRNA from 1 species
GAUGAACGCUGGCGGCGUGCUUAACACAUGCAAGUCGAACGAAGCAUCUGCGACAGUUUUUCUCGGAAUGAAGUUGCUUAUGACUGAGUGGCGGACGGGUGAGUAACGUGUGGGUAACCUGCCUUGUACUGGGGGAUAGCAGCUGGAAACGGCUGGUAAUACCGCAUAAGCGCACAAUGUUGCAUGACAUGGUGCGAAAAACUCGGGUGGUAUAAGAUGGACCUGCGUCUGAUUAGCUAGUUGGUGAGAUAACAGCCCACCAAGGCGACGAUCAGUAGCCGACCUGAGAGGGUGACCGGCGACAUUGGGACUGAGACACAGCCCAGACUCCUACGGGAGGCAGCAGUGGGGGAUAUUGCACAAUGGAGGAAGCUCUGAUGCAGCGACGCCGCGUGAGUGAAGAAGUAAUUCGUUAUGUAAAGCUCUAUCAGCAGGGAAGAUAGUGACGGUACCUGACUAGGAAGCUCCGGCUAAAUACGUG